CGGCGGGGCCCCCAGCAAUUCUGGGCCCCAAGGUCACGAUUCACCGAGUCCCCACGCAGCGCAGGCCUUCGCAGUUCGACAAGAAAAUCCUGCUGUGGACAGGGCGUUUCAAAUCGAUGGAGGAGAUCCCGCCUCGGAUCCCGCCAGAAAUGAUAGACACCGCAAGAAACAAAGCUCGAGUGAAAGCUUGUUACAUAAUGAUUGGACUCACAAUUAUCGCCUGCUUUGCUGUGAUAGUGUCAGCCAAAAGGGCUGUAGAACGACAUGAAUCCUUAACAAGUUGGAACUUGGCAAAGAAAGCUAAGUGGCGUGAAGAAGCUGCAUUGGCUGCACAGGCUAAAGCUAAAUGAUAUUCUAAGUGACAAAGUGUUCACCUGAAUACCAUCCCUGUCAUCAGCAACAGUAGAAGAUGGGAAAAAUAGAAUAUUUACCAAAAUAUCUGCCAUGGUUUUAUUUUGGUAACAAGAAGCACAAUGUCUUUUUUAUUUUUAUUUUUUAGUAAACUUUUACUGAAGUAUACCAUGCAUUCAAAAAGUGGACAAAACUGUAUACAGUCUGAUAGAUAUUUAUGUCGUGAACACCUGUGUAACCACUGCCAAAGUGAAGAUGUAGAAUAUUGGCAACACUUCACAGCCUCAUUCCUGCCUUUUCUCAGCCAUUACCUCCCAAACAUAGCAGUUUUUCUGAGUUUCAUCACCUUUGAUUCAUUUUGCCUGUUUUUGAACUUUAUAUAAAUGGAUUUAUACAUUA
rnacentral:lncRNA from 1 species